rnacentral:tRNA from 1 species
GCGGGCAUCGUAUAAUGGCUAUUACCUCAGCUUUCCAAGCUGAUGAUGCGGGUUCGAUUCCCGACGCCCGCUCCA